rnacentral:rRNA from 1 species
GACAGCGUCGGGAAACUGACGGGAAUCCCCCAUACCGGUCUCACGCUGGAAUGCCGAGACCGACAAACGCUCCGGCGCUGCAGGAUGCGGCUGCGGCCGAUUAGGUAGUCGGUGGGGUAACGGCCCACCGAGCCGAUAAUUGGUACGGGGUGUGAGAGCACGAGCCCGGAGACGGAAUCUGAGACAAGAUUCCGGGCCCUACGGGGCGCAGCAGGCGCGAAACCUUUACACUGCACGAAGGUGCGAUAAGGGGACUCCGAGUGCGAGGGCAUACAGUCCUCGCUAUUGUGUACCGUAGGGUGGUACACGACCAAGAGCUGGGCAAGACCGGUGCCAGCCGCCGCGGUAAUACCGGCAGCUCGAGUGAUGGCCGAUUUUAUUGGGCCUAAAGCGUCCGUAGCUGGCCCUGCAAGUCCGUCGGGAAAUCCACUCGCCUAACGAGUGGGCGUCCGGCGGAAACUACAGGGCUUGGGACCGGAAGACUUGAGGGGUACGUCUGGGGUAGGAGUGAAAUCCUGUAAUCCUGGACGGACCGCCGAUGGCGAAAGCACCUCAAGACGACGGAUCCGACAGUGAGGGACGAAAGCUAGGGUCUCGAACCGGAUUAGAUACCCGGGUAGUCCUAGCCGUAAACGAUGUUCGCUAGAUGUGGCACAGGCUACGUGCCUGUGCUGUGUCGUAGGGAAGCCGAGAAGCGAACCGCCUGGGAAGUACGUCCGCAAGGAUGAAACUUAAAGGAAUUGGCGGGGGAGCACUACAACCGGAGGAGCCUGCGGUUUAAUUGGACUCAACGCCGGACAUCUCACCAGCUCCGACUACAGUGAUGACGAUCAGGUUGACGACCUCGUCACGAUGCUGUAGAGAGGAGGUGCAUGGCCGCCGUCAGCUCGUACCGUGAGGCGUCCUGUUAAGUCAGGCAACGAGCGAGACCCGCGCACCUACUUGCCAGCAGCAGU